UCACACAAGCAAAACACAAGCAGAAUAAAUAAAUGUGGUAAGUAAAGAGCUAGCAUUUGCCCUCCUAGAGAUGAGACCAUUUAUCCAAUGGUAUAUUGCCAAAACACAACCCCUAACCCACACUGGAGCUCCACCAAGAUAUGCUUCCGGUCACUUCUAGUCUUGGUGUUGGAUUGUCAUUAGUAAGACCAAUGAUGACCAAAGGCAAAUAUCAAGAGUCACUAAGUCUUACUACCACCACCUUACUCUUCUUAUCACCUUGAUAACAUGUCUAUUAUUGAGGUUCUCCACAAAGAAAGAGGUGUCCUCAUCCCCAACACACUAGGUCGUCGCCGCUCCACAUGACUAUAACUGCACAUAUAGUUCCUUGUUAGUUAAAUUCAAUCAUCUUAAGAAAUGUAGGAGACCACUGGUUACUAUACUUUUUGACCCUUUAAUAUUACUUUAGAGUAAAAAUUUGAUAAUUAUAAGGCUUAAGGAUUAAAAUUCUAUUGAGGCUACCAUUUCGACCCCCAUAUAUCCGACAUCUCACUUAAUGCUCUAUCAAUUAUGUUAAGCGAUAUGGUGUAGGUUUCAAAUAAUUGCUUAUGAUAAUGUAGUAUUUAAGAAUGUACUCUAUGACCUAAAAUUUUUCUAAAAAGUUCUAAAAAGGGAUUUAAAAAAAUAUACAAUAACCACAAGAGUUUUCACUUGACCUGACGAUAAAAUGAAUUUAUUGUAGUCAAUAAGAAUAAAAUUGUAAUCAAAGUCAGAUGCAUGACUUUGUAAGAUAUAUGAUGCAUAACUACCCUAGUUAAUGGUAAGGUUUCAAACUAAUUGCACAUUUAAAAUAUACAAAGGUGCCAUGUAAAGAAAAAGUAUGAAUAUUUAUGAAAAAAAUUAUAGAUCAACCUCUUCCAAAAAAAUGAUAAUAAGUUUAUGAUAACUGGAUACAGACUACAAGUAUCUAUUAUGUUAGAAAACAUACAAAGUCAAAAACAUAUAAUUUAAUAUAAGUAAUUUUCCAUCUGUCAUAUGUAUUGAACAAUAAUUAAUACUUAUAUCUCCUAAAAUUGUUGCCAGGUUGAUAGACUAGUGGAAUCUAAUCAUAGGUGCAUGGAAGCUAACACUAGUACAAAAAAAUUAUUGGAGGCGGGCAAAAGGGGUUAAUGGAGGCAAGCGUCACAACCGCCUCCAAUCAAAGGUCACCUUAAUCAAUAGACCAUGGAGGCAGGUACUUUGCCCACCUCUGUUAAUCAGUAUGAAAAAACAAAAAGAAAUAAAAAGCCCACAACCUAGACCUAACGGGUCUGGAUUUGGGCCUCGCGCCGCCACCCCUGCGUGUCACCGUCGUCAUGGGUGCAGGCCCCGCCUCGUGAGCGUCGUAGCCGAGGUUACUCGAUCUGCCACCGGGGAAGCUCGAUCUACCGCGUGCACGUUCGCUAACAGUGGAUCUGGCCACCACACCUUUACCGGAGCAGGGGCCACCACACCUCCACCUCGCACCACCACAGCUCUGCCAGAUUUGGCCACCUUGGUGACGGAUGUGGCUACCAGCAACUGAUCUGGUCGUCACGGUCGCCGGAGAAGGAGGUGGGGGAGGGGAGGGUGCACCAGCCACCGGGGGAAUAGAUCGAGGGAGGAGCUCGGUGGGGCAGCUCGAGGAAGAAGGCUGCGUCACCGACGGUGAGCAACUCUAGGGAGGUGAAGUACGUAGCUUGGGGGAGGGCGUCGCUGUCAGGGUUGCCGGAUCUGGCCGUCGGGGAGUGCCUCCAUCGGUGGAGCGGCUUAGGGGGAGGAGGUCCCUCCGCCGCCGCCAGGAAGGAGCUUGGGGGAAGAGGAAGUGGACGAGCUUAGGGAAGGAGGGAAAGGGGCGCCAACUUUGGGAAGAAAGGGAGUCGGGAGAGAGACAGAGAGGGUGGGCUCAAGCAGAACGCAUUGGCUGCGAUGGGGA
rnacentral:lncRNA from 1 species